rnacentral:rRNA from 1 species
AUUGAACGCUGGCGGCAUGCCUAACACAUGCAAGUCGAGCGAGGUGUAGCAAUACAUCUAGCGGCGGACGGGUGAGGAAUACAUAGGAAUUUGCCUUUAAGUGGGGGAUAGCCCGGGGAAACUCGGAGUAAUACCGCAUGAUGUCGAAAGACCAAAGCAGGGGACCGCAAGGCCUUGCGCUUUUAGAGAAGCCUAUGUCGGAUUAGCUAGUUGGUGAGGUAAUGGCNCACCAAGGCAACGAUCCGUAGCUGGUUUGAGAGAACGAUCAGCCACACCGGAACUGAGACACGGUCCGGACUCCUACGGGAGGCAGCAGUGGGGAAUAUUGGACAAUGGGCGAAAGCCUGAUCCAGCAAUGCCGCGUGUGUGAAGAAGGCCU